UGUAGUACGGGUGUAUAUGCAUGCAUGUAUGUAUAACAAAAUGUUUCAAGCUGUGAGACUAUAAAGCGUGCAAGAAAAGGGAGCACAAAGAUCGCCAAAUAUUAUAUGCAAAACAGUAAAUGAAGGACUAAUGCAAAUGAGUAUUUUUUAUGGAAAUUAAACGAGCAAACAGAGAUUCGACAGUAGCCAGCAAAGCUCAAAAGAUAGCAAUAGCUAAUU